UACAGAGGUCUCGAGCGUUGUUCGGAUUCAUUGGGCGUAAAGGGUGCGUAGGCGGCGCGGUAAGUCGGGUGUGAAAUCUUGGAGCUUAACUCCGAAACUGCAUUCGAUACUGCGGUGCUUGAGGACUGGAGAGGAGACUGGAAUUCAUGGUGUAGCAGUGAAAUGCGUAGAGAUCAUGAGGAAGACCAGUGGCGAAGGCGGGUCUCUGGACAGUUCCUGACACUGAGGCACGAAGGCCAGGGGAGCAAACGGG
rnacentral:rRNA from 1 species